rnacentral:rRNA from 1 species
UACGUAGGCAGCAAGCGUUGUUCGGAAUUACUGGGCGUAAAGAGUGUGUAGGCGGUGCUCCAAGUCUGGUGUGAAAUCUCCCGGCUCAACUGGGAGGUGCGCUAGAAACUGGAAUGCUAGAGGAUGGGAGAGGUAAGCGGAAUUCCUGGUGUAGCGGUGAAAUGCGUAGAUAUCAGGAGGAACACCAGUGGCGAAGGCGACUUCCUGGCCUGUUCUUGACGCUGAGGCGCGAAAGCUGGGGGAGCAAACGGG